rnacentral:rRNA from 1 species
GACGAACGCUGGCGGCGUGCUUAACACAUGCAAGUCGAACGGUAAGGCCCUUCGGGGUACACGAGUGGCGAACGGGUGAGUAACACGUGGGUGAUCUGCCCUGCACUUCGGGAUAAGCCUGGGAAACUGGGUCUAAUACCGGAUAGGACUCCGGACUGCAUGGUCUGGGGUGGAAAGCUUUUGCGGUGUGGGAUGGGCCCGCGGCCUAUCAGCCUGUUGGUGGGGUGAUGGCCUACCAAGGCGACGACGGGUAGCCGGCCUGAGAGGGUGACCGGCCAGACUGGGACUGAGGUACGGCCCAGACUGCUACGGGAGGCAGCAGUGGGGAAUAUUGCGCAAUGGGCGCAAGGCUGAUGCAGCGACGCCGCGUGAGGGAUGACGGCCUUCGGGUUGUAAACCUCUUUCAGCGCCGACGGAGCGCAAGUGACGGUAGGUGCAGAAGAAGGACCGGCCAACUACGUGCCAGCCGCCGCAGUAA